rnacentral:lncRNA from 1 species
GUUUUUUCAUUUUAUGGAUUUUAUUCUGCCUGGAGGCUAUACAGUCUGUUAUGCUACCCAUCAGCCUUGGCUAGAGAGUCCAGCUUGGAAAACACUGUUCUUUUCCUGCCAACUUGUUCAAGCCUACAGUCACCCAGCCUACAACAGCUUGUCAGCUCGACUGAAAAGAGCCAAGAUGAAGAAUAGCAGGAACAUGAGAGGCUCUCCUGGGAAUGCAUCGAAGGAGCGCUGGUGGAGGCUCUCUAGUUAA